rnacentral:rRNA from 1 species
CCUACGGGAGGCAGCAGUGAGGAAUAUUGGUCAAUGGACGAGAGUCUGAACCAGCCAAGCAGCGUGCAGGAUGACUGCCCUAUGAGUUGUAAACUUCUUUUAUAUGGGAAUAAACUGAUCCACGCGUGGGAUUCUGUAUGUACCAUAUGAAUAAGGAUCGGCUAACUCCGUGCCAGCAGCCGCGGUAAUACGGAGGAUCCAAGCGUUAUCCGGAUUUAUUGGGUUUAAAGGGAGCGUAGGUGGAUUGUUAAGUCAGUUGUGAAAGGUUGCGGCUCAACCGCCAAAUUGCAGUUGAAACUGGCAGGCUUGAGUACAGUAGAGGUGGGCGGAAUUCGUGGUGUAGCGGUGAAAUGCUUAGAGAUCACGAAGAACUCCGAUUGCGAAGGCAGCUUACUGGACUGCAUCUGACACUGAGGCUCGAAAGUGUGGGGAUCAAACAGGAUUAGAUACCCCAGUAGUC